CCUACGGGAGGCAGCAGUGGGGAAUAUUGGACAAUGGGCGCAAGCCUGAUCCAGCAAUACCGCGUGUGUGAAGAAGGCCUGAGGGUUGUAAAGCACUUUCAAUGGGGAGGAAAACCUACCGGCCAAUACCCGGUGGCUUGACAUUACCCAUACAAGAAGCACCGGCUAACUCCGUGCCAGCAGCCGCGGUAAUACGGAGGGUGCGAGCGUUAAUCGGAAUUACUGGGCGUAAAGCGUGCGUAGGCGGCCGCAAGCCAGAUGUGAAAGCCCCGGGCUCAACCUGGGAACUGCAUUUGGAACUGACGGGCUAGAGUUGGGUAGAGGGGGGCGGAAUUUCAGGUGUAGCGGUGAAAUGCGUAGAGAUCUGAAGGAACACCAGUGGCGAAGGCGGCCCCCUGGACCCAAACUGACGCUGAGGCACGAAAGCGUGGGUAGCAAACAGGAUUAGAUACCCUGGUAGUCCAGCCGUAAACGAUGCCGACUAGCCGUUGGCCCUAUAUACAGGGUUAUGGCGCAGCUAACGCAUUAAGUCGCGCCUGGGGNGACGCGCGAGUAACUACAAGAGUAGAGCGNGAGAGNGCGAGACGACGACGAGGAGAG
rnacentral:rRNA from 1 species